UACGUAGGGCGCAAGCGUUGUCCGGAAUUAUUGGGCGUAAAGGGCUCGUAGGCGGUUCGUCACGUCGGGAGUGAAAACUCGGAGCUUAACUCCGAGCCUGCUUCCGAUACGGGCAGACUAGAGGUAGGCAGGGGAGAGCGGAACUCCUGGUGUAGCGGUGGAAUGCGCAGAUAUCAGGAAGAACACCGGUGGCGAAGGCGGCUCUCUGGGCCUUACCUGACGCUGAGGAGCGAAAGCGUGGGUAGCAAACAGG
rnacentral:rRNA from 1 species